CAGUGUGGCCGAUCACCCUCUCAGGUCGGCUAUGCAUCGUUGCCUUGGUAAGCCGUUACCUUACCAACUAGCUAAUGCAGCGCGGAUCCAUCUAUAAGUGACAGCAAGACCGUCUUUUACUUUUGAACCAUGCGGUUCAAAAUAUUAUCCGGUAUUAGCUCCGGUUUCCCGAAGUUAUCCCAGUCUUAUAGGUAGGUUAUCCACGUGUUACUCACCCGUCCGCCGCUAACAUCAGAGAAGCAAGCUUCUCGUCCGUUCGCUCGACUUGCAUGUAUUAGGCACGCCGCCAGCGUUCAUCCUGAGCCAGGAUCAAACCCUC
rnacentral:rRNA from 1 species